CUUGACUGGCAUUAUCGUUCAACCCACCCUGAAGCCGCUCGCUGUCCGUCAAAAGUAUUCCAAUCAAAACACUCAAUUACAGUUGGUUUAGCGUAGCGUGAGUGCGGACUUAUGGAUGGUGGUGCUCCGGGAGCCGUGGCUGACGCCGUGUGAGGCCUACCGCUGGUGUUUGUAGCCGGGCCGCCCGUGAAAAAGGUGCUUCCGAGCGAUGGACGAGCAACAAAGAAUGAUGCACCCAGUAUCACAACAUCCCAUCGUGAGCAUGGCGGGCCAUGUCGUGCCCCAGCAUGGUUACGGAAUGCCUCCGCAAUCGCACGGUGUCGACCCGACGGGCCAACAGGCCGCACCCGACCAGGAGCCGAGGAAGCACGACAUUUCGGAAAUUCUCCAACAGAUCAUGAACAUCACCGACCAGAGCUUGGACGAAGCGCAAGCUAGGAAACACACGCUCAACUGCCACCGAAUGAAGCCCGCUCUCUUCAGCGUCCUCUGCGAAAUCAAAGAGAAAACAGUGCUGAGCUUACGGAACACGCAAGAGGAAGAGCCCCCCGACCCGCAGCUGAUGCGGCUGGACAACAUGCUGAUCGCCGAGGGCGUGGCGGGACCCGAGAAGGGCGGCGGCGCCGGCGCGGCCGCCAAUGCCUCAGCCGCCGCCUCGGCCGGCGGACAGCCCGAAAACGCCAUCGAGCACUCCGACUACCGGGCCAAACUGGCGCAAAUCCGCCAGAUCUACCACCAGGAGCUCGAGAAGUACGAGCAGGCGUGCAACGAGUUCACGACGCACGUGAUGAACCUGCUGCGCGAGCAGAGCCGGACGCGUCCCAUCACGCCGAAGGAGAUCGAGCGCAUGGUCCAGAUAAUCCACAAGAAGUUCAAUUCCAUCCAGGUGCAGCUCAAGCAGAGCACCUGCGAAGCCGUCAUGAUCCUCCGCUCCAGGUUCCUCGACGCCAGGCGGAAGAGGCGGAACUUCAGCAAGCAGGCGACGGAGAUCCUGAACGAGUACUUCUACUCGCACCUUAGCAACCCGUACCCGUCGGAGGAAGCCAAGGAGGAACUCGCAAGGAAGUGCGGCAUCACUGUCUCUCAGGUGUCUAAUUGGUUCGGCAACAAGCGGAUACGAUACAAGAAGAACAUAGGGAAAGCGCAAGAAGAGGCCAAUCUCUACGCAGCAAAAAAGGCAUUCCCGAAAAAGAAAACAGACAGACAUACGGCCGGCGCGUCAGCCUACAGCAUGGUGCCGACGACGCAGGGUCAGCAGGGUCCUAUGAUAAGCCCACCGCCGCCGGGAGCGCCGCAGGACUCAAUGUACAACAUGAGUAUGAACGGCGGAGACUCCUACCAGAACGCCAUGGGCGCCAACGUGCAAUCGCAGCUCUGCAAUUUGGAGACGUGGGCCUGAGGCAGCGGCGGCGGCGAUCGUUGAUGAUGGCUCGCGGGAUGAAGCUCGCCUCUGCUCUUUGGCAGCGCCAGUGUCGCGUCGUCGUCGCCUGCCGACCUAACCGCCGGCUUUUUGUAAAGACAGAAAGACACGUUACGCGGGAGUCGCCCCCCUCCCCCUCCCAUCCCCACCUUGCCUCCGUUUCCUUCUUGCCCCUUUCUUUUUUUUCCCUCGCCUCUGCGUCGGCCCAGGAAAAGAAUGCAAAAGAAAGGGGGAAGCGAAGGAAACCACCAAAUGCAAAUACGGACACCAGUGUGCACGCGUGCGUGUGUUUGUUCUCUGCGUGUCUCUGUGUGCGUGCGUGCUCGCGCAACUCUGCCAAGUUUCGGCGAAACGAAGACAGAGUGGGGAGAAGACGACGGGACAUCGUCGCAUCGGCGCUCCCUGCAAACGGCAGGCAAAAGCGAGGAGGCGCGCUGGCUGGGAACGUGGCGCUGUUCCCUUCUGUGAAGAAAAUGGCGGAGCGUGCGCGGCCCGCGUCGACCUGCCUGCAAGUUCUGCGCGCCGGACCGACGCGAGACCACCGUGCCCGAGGAGGAGGAGGUCCCCACCCACAUCAUCCCCGUGCGACGCGACGACCACCACCGCCGCUGCUGACCCUGCGUGCUGCCGCAGCUCGAACCCCGAGUGGGGAAGUAAAGAAGAAAAUCCGCUUCUGCGUCUUUCGCGUUCCUCUUCACCGCCAUCCAAGAAAACGAGGGGGAGAGAGAAAUCCCGACGACUGCACCGACCACAGUCGGACGGGAACGACGCGUGUCGCCUCUCCCAGCACGCGCCACCUACCGCGUGCUCAGGUGUGUGACUGCUGCAUGACACGGUGUUGCGACCGCGGCUCCACUGCCUGCGGUUCUGUACCUGCCCGCCGGCAGGCCUUCCAUCCCAUCCGAAGCUGGACUUGCAAAUACUGUGCUUAUGUUACUUUUUUCCCCGAAGAGCGAGCCCCGUCAUCGUUGUGCACGUCACUACCUGUCGUGUCGGUUACGACGUUAUUGAACUGUUCGUCGUAGUGACUGAAACCAGAGCUACAGGAGCUGGGACCGCUUUACGACUUGGCCGCAUAGGGCUGCGUUUGUCCGUGAGCCUCCCUGUACACCGUUAUCAUCGUUGCCGGGUACUGAUCGUGUUGCCUUGUGACGUCAUACUAGCGCCAAGUGCGCAGCCCCUGUCCUAUUUCGGCGGCAGUUGUUGUCUGUGUCAAGCGGAGGCGCUCUUCAUCCUAGCUCCUCGAUUUCGCCCGAGCGACUCAAGCUGGUUGCUGCUCCCGCAGGUUACUGUUAUCUUGAGAAAGCUGGAGAAAGUACCUUUUCUUUAUCCUUUAAAGCAGAGGUGGUUUCUACUUACGCUUCUUGCUGAUUAGCAGCCAAAUUCAACAAUGAAGAUUACGUUGCCGCUAGCACGGACAUAAAUCACCUUCAUAGUACAGCUUCGCACUGCGGAAUUCAUGAUUACGGGAUGAGUUCACGUGCUUUUAUUCUGAAGUCAGAUAGUACUUUCCCCCCAUUGUACCCGUUGCAGGCGUCCCGACUGAAACACCUCUUAUUAAAACAAAAAAUAACACAUCGUGACGCGUCUACUGCUGUCAGAUUUUGUUACCUGAACAUUUGUCCGCUACUGCUGCAAAAAAUUAAUAUGGUAAAACUGAUCGAACUCCUUCCAAAAUUAAAACAGACGUGCGUGCUUGUUCUGGUAUCCUCGGUUUGGUACUCCUGCGAACCUGAUUAUUCGCCCUAAACUAGAUAAUGUUGUUGCAAUAGCGACAAGUUCAACCACUGCUGCUCCUGUAGUGGACUCGCAGCAAAAAUUUUACUUCAAUGUAGAGUGUAACGCCUGCGAUUUCUGCUGGAAUUGGUCAGCUUCCGAUGGAGAAUACUCCCGCGGUCACAGAUAAGCUGUCGCCGAACUGGGACGCCUCAAAAGUAAAUGGGGGCAACGUAACCUACGCGAGGCUCAAGCCAGGAUGCGGUGAACGCAUGGGCACUCACGGACACACGUGUUCUUUGCCUUUCCCUUUUUUUUUUUUUUUUUUUCUAAUGCUUCUGAAUUGCUUGCCUGUGUUUGUCACUUGGGAACGAAUGUUGCGACUGCUGCGAAGCCCAUCACCACUACGUCUCGGACGACUGUCUCAAUGUGUAAGAUAAGAAGAUGAGAGAAUCUCCCGAUUUCCAUCCCUCUAACCCUUCGCUAACCCGGCCCGUCGCCAUAGUUAUGUGGACAUGGCUUCCGUCACUCGCCGGCGUUUAUUGCCGGCCUCGUUGGUGCUUGCUGGGCCGACAGUGUCAUGGAUUUGUGUGGUGUCGACAGUGUUCACGGUUCCCAUCUGAGUUAACGGUGCGCAAACUUCUCGGGCCUGAAGAAGGAACUGCGUUUAUUUGUCCCCUGUUCUAAUGUCGCAACUCUAGCGCGCUACGCCGCAUAUUCUAUUAAAAGGGUUUGGGUGCUACGGAGGGGGCUUCCGAAAUUCUUGGCAGGUUGGCGUUAGUUCCGCUAAAUGUUCCUCAGAGUUGCACAAUGAAUGAAAAACAAAAGUAAAAAACUGAGAAGUCGGAGCCUCUAGAACUUGGCCUUUAUUGUUUUGCGGCGUCUACCAUAAUUGAAUCGAAAUUGCAAGCGCUUCAAUGCGUGCGUAGCUAUUCCUCGAUAUACCCGAGAGGUUUGUCGCUCCUUUUUUUGCGUUGACCUAUGUUGAUCGCGCGUGUCCUGGAGUGUCGACACGAUUUUGUUAGCAUUUUAGGUAUGAUCUGUUGCGUAGUCCUUACUUUCCUCCACUUCCACUGGCUGUUGCUCUUUAAGAGAAGCGCUGCAGCUGCGGCAGAUUUAGUGCGAACGCGAAACUGCGCCGCCGACGUCGGCCACCGACUAACCUUGCGGGUGGCAGUAGCGCGUCGCCAUGGUGCCGGCUGAUUUGCGGGAAAAGCUAAUGACGCUUCUCCGUUUCGGCGUUCGGACAUUUAUUGCGGACGCGUGGAUCGUUUUUUGCUUUCAAAGACGAGGGAUUAAAAUUGGCGGGAACGCUGCUACUUUACCCGAAAGUCUCUCUCUCUCUCUCUCUGCCCUCUCGCAUUCGACAGUUCGCCGCUUGGUGGCCUCGGCAACUGCAAUGCCAGCAGUGGCACUUUUUAGAAUUGUUCGCCGCGAUGCCCGAUUUGCACUUUUUUUAUUUCCUUUAAAGUUAAGGCUGUCUGAUCUGCUCUUACCUUAGUGUGGGUGUCGCAUGUUAGGUUUUCCCCGUCCUGGUCCUGCAGAUUUCGUCAGCUAAAGCUUCGAAUACAGAAUUCGCUGAAGGCUUGUAGCGAUUUGUCCAUAAUUUCAACCAAAGUCGGCAUAUGUGACGUAGCGACGUAAGUAGCGACAGCGGCACAGCUGUCCCCAGGUGGCGUGUUCGAUUCCCAUCUGCGGCGGACGCAUUUCAUUUAAAGCAGAAUGGAGCAACGCCCAUGUAAUUUCGAGUGCUUUUUCAGAAUAGAUCGGUAGCCGUCAACUACUGAGGCCCGCGUAGUCCAGAUCUAUGUCAAUUUUAGGAAGAUGGAUAGGGCUCAGUGGUUAACUACGGAAGCUUCACAUGCGAAGCUUCGUAGUACACGCAGGGACGACAAGGUGCAUUAGUUAAGCCCUUCGAUUUACGGACGACAGCUGAGUGAGUGAAAGCAUAUUAGUGCGGAGACGUGUUCUGUAGCUGAGGCGAUAAUGUGAAAAUCUUCGCAAAAUUUCAGUAAUUCCAGGUGGCCAUCUCACCGACUUCGAGGUCUACGGUGUUCUGAACCUAUAUGCCAUUAACGAUCGGUUGUGCUGUGUGCUUUAACAAAAUUAUUUUGAAUCAGCCUGCGCUCUAGGGGAAAUUUAGGAAACGUGUAGCGCGGCCAAAAUCGAGCCUUCUUUUUGGCACGAAGCAGGAUGAAAAAAGGUGGACAGCUAGACCAGUGUGCAUGGGUUAAGGCACAUCCGUAAUACCAGCGCCCCAGUUGAGUGAGGCAUCAGCAGCGCUGAUUAUGAUCGGGCUCAUUAUCUCACGGCAGCGCCUCCCCCCCCCCCACUCUUUCCCUCCAACUGGAAGGCUCGCCGCCGCGCAAGUUUUCUGAUUAAUUCCAACGAACUCGGCGCUUGUUUUUCUCCCCAGUAGUGCGCGCCGGAACUCCUUCCCCUGAGCUUCUCGUACGCCAGCGGACGGGAGAGGAGCUUCUCUCGUGCUCGACCCAGUUACCGUCUCCUCUUUCCUCAAGAAUCUUUCUCGGGCACAGUCCCACGCACAUUCUCCGGCGGUGUGUUGCUCGUGUUUCCCAGGCGGCCUGCUUGUUCCUCGGCUCGCCCGGCGCGCGCAGAGAGCCUCGGGUUCUCUUCUUUCUCAUUUUUUCGGACCUCGGCGCUUUCGGGCCGUGGGACGCCGCUGGUGGGAAGAAAAGUUUUCGGGAGGCGGCAGCCGUGAUCGUUGCCUCUCUUCUGCUGUGUUCGCUCCGGGCAGUCGUGCGGAGGCGGGGGAGUGCGGGCUAGUAACAAGCAGCGACAUAGGCACGUUCUCUCCGGGGCUCCCGUAGCAGACGCGAAGAGAAAGUAAAAUGAAGGCUAUCUCAUUUUCUUGGGUGUCUCAGAUGUGCUGCUUGGGCAACGGUGAGAAAACUAGUCCUCGUGCUGAGAUAGCGAAGGGUGGAGGGGGGGGGGGGGGGAGGAAGCGAUAGAAAGUGGGCUUUUUCGACCGCGCAUUGGACAAGGCGGUUUCGUCCCCUCCUCGGCUGGGCCAAUGAGCGAUUCGAGACACGCCCACUUUCUUGCGGCGUUCUCUCCCCUCCUCCUUCGCUCAUGUAUGGGUGAGCGUCUUUCGAUGCUCCCGGCUCCGUUUCAUAGUGCGCUCGCACUCCGCCGUGCCCCGCGAACGGUGGGCGAGAGGCGACCGGCUGCGGCGCAUGCGCACUCUCGCGUGCGCCGUGAGCCCGCUCCGGGCCGAGUCUCGACCGGGGCCCUGGCGGGCUCGGACGCCGACGGAACCCAGGUUCGUCUCCGCGACCGGGAGCCUCGCUUCUUCCCCCUGUAUGGCUCUACGCUCCGGGAAAGCCUUUUUUGCGAAUUUACUCGCCAUCCAUUUUCUUCUUUUUUUUUUUUUCUUGCGAAACCUGUUGUGCACUUUCCGUUUUCUCGCUUAACAUCUCCCGAUAGGCAACGGCGAUGGGGGGAAGGUGAAUCCUGAUAGUCUGCGUGCGGCAGCAUCUUGAUCCCCCAAUAAGGUCAGAAUAAAGCUGAGCCUUUAUUAUGACCAUGUAGAAUCAAUAAAGUGAUGUAGAAUCGCUCUGGUAUUCUGCUUUGAACACUGUGGGCAUCCGCUCAAUGUUAUCCUCCCAAGGUUCGUGUUAGCUGUGGAUGUUGGGUUGUUUUGUGACGGUCAUUGCGUGUCGGGCACCAAGUUAGCAGCGAGUUGUUUCUUAUACCCUUGACGUUCCGCCUUAUUUGGACUGUUUGUAACCAGGCUUCUAAACCCAUAGUACCUAGCUUUAGUUUUGACGAGGCGUUAAGCACGAUCAAGUAAAUUAAGUCAAGCGCUCAUGUCCUCCGCCGAUCUGCGGAGGCUGUAAACGGUUCGCACAUAAAUAGUUGUCUACGCAAAGGAAUCCGGCGAAAUUUUCUAGCGGCGCUUUAGGACAGCUAUCAAAGCACCUCGUCGGCGGUAUGAGGUAUGAAUUCAUGUUUUUCUUCUUGCUUUUUUUUUCUUGCUGCUGCGGAUAAUCUUUGCCGAUUCUCGUUCGCUUUUUUUUUUUUUUUUUGGCCGGAUUAGUUCGAUUGGGAGCGCAUACACGGCCCGAGGCGUAUUGCUGCCAUCGAUUUCAAGUGCGCCGCGCGGAAUGAGAAAGUUUAGCGCCCCUGUCGAUACUGUCCCGCGGAUAAAUAACAAAAGGAGAGCGCCUAGCUUGGCCUGUCAUACUUCUUUGACGUCCCCUUGCAAGCUAAUUCGAUUUACCGUUCGUCGCUUUGUGUGUCUGGCGCUUUCUUUGCUCACAACUCUGCAAGUCACUUUCCUCGUCGCGUUUUUCUUUUCUUCCUUUCUUUUUUUUUUCCUUAUCGCGACCGUAUUGCGGUUCAUUCUCAUACGGCGCAUGCAACCCCGCGUGUGAUUUCUAGGCAAACACUGAAAAUUCCAACGCCGCCCUGGCCGGUUUCUUUUUUUUUUUUUAACAGUAUUCUAAAGUUAGCUUCGCAGACGAUUUUCCUCAGUAUUUCCUUCGCUUUUGUUCAAUCACAGACUCAAUUUUAGCCAUAAAAUAUGUGAUAGAGACCACACAAAGUAAUAUAUAAGGUAACCUGAGCAUAGCGGCCACUUGGUUAUUGUCGUUUUAGUUCUGUCAUUGCUGCCAUUUGCAAGGCAUAUUGUAAGCGCCCGUCACGUUCCUUCGCUAGCGCAGGACGUUUCGUCGCCGCACCGGCUACGGUAGCUCGGCGACUAAUGGCGUUGUGCUGCUGAGCACGAGGUCGCGGGUUCGAUCGCGCGGGCCGCGGAAACCGCAUUGCGAUGGUGGCGGAAUGCAAAAACGCUCGUGUACUUUGCACAGGGUGCACAUUGCAGAAGCCUAGCUGGUCAACAUUAAUCCGGUUUCAGUUUAUUGUUACCAAACGCUCAUUCUAGAUAUGCACUAGACAAUUUUUGUGGGGACAGGAGCGCAUGCUGUACAAGCCACACAGCAUUCUCAGAAAUGACGAAGAGUGGCCUACUUUAGACGGAAAAAAAAAAAAAAACGCUACAUUACGUACUCGCCAAGAUAGGCAAGUGAGAUCGCGCGGCAGUUUAUGGCAAAAGACUCCCUUUUUUUUUUUUCCCCAUAAGUUUUCAUAACCUCGUCCACGAACCAACAGGUUGCUUUUCCUUAGCGAAAAAUUUUGUUCGAGGGUUCACUUGCUGCUGAACACGAGAACGAGUUACUUAAUGUGCUGUAAACACAAAGGGCGCUCCAAACACAGUAACCUGACAAGACCAUGUUUUCGCAAUUCUGUGAGUAAGCGGCAGUUAUAUGCUAAAUUGCGCUAAUGUGCCCUAAAUAAUGGUAAUGUUACCUACGGAAGGCUAACUUGUGGCCUGAAAGGGUGCGAGGCCCAAAGGUUGCAUCAAUCGUAGCAAAAUUUGGAGCAUGCCAACAAUAUGUAACUCUGGCACCGGGUGUGGUAUUCGAGCGUAGUUUCCUGGCUCUGAAGUGACUUGUAGAUUGCCAGAUGAAAAUUUUACUAGCAUUGAUUUCACUUCACACGCACUUGAACAAUGACCGAAACAUCUAAGCCCGUACGGCUCUUCCCGUUAUAUGCUGUGAAGAGCAGCGUUGCUACCCAUAAGAAUGUGAAACUGCGCCCUUUUAAUGAAACCUAUGUUGGAGCAUGCUCCACUGCGGUACAUGUGGACCUCGUUGUUUCGCAUGAAAGAACAUCGCGUACAGAAAUAGCGGCAUGAGUUUGCCUCUCGAAGGUGCUGUUUAAUGACAUACCCGCACAUUUUAGGCAGUGAAUUCACCCAAGAUCAGGUCAGUGGCCGUUUUCCAUUUCUGUAACUGCUGUCCCCCGUGGCGUCCUCGAUUCGAUAUGCGCCAUCUUCUUCGCGACUACUCGAACUAAGGAUCGUUCAAGAAAAUGUUUUUUCUCUAACCGAAGCAGCAAGAUGUAAGGAAAUUUCAAGCGAGCGUUGAAGAAAACGUCGCAAAGGGGUCAGCUGUCCGAAUUUGUUCAAUAGCGAAACCGUCAAGUGGCGAAACAGCGUUGCUCUUGUAAAAGACAUAUUCAUGCGUACGGCCUUUCGCGCAUUUUUUUUUUCUUUGUACAUCCUCGCCAGGUGUUCUCGGAACUCGAGAGCCACCUUUCCCUUUCUCGCGUCUUCGGUAGCGCUAAAUUGCCGUCAUAUCUGUUCUAGAAGCUAAAAAAAUUGACCCGUGGUUUACGCGUGUCUGCCUCCGGUUUCGCGGCGACCGCUUCAUUUCGUCCAGCGUUUGCGAGACCUGCGCCGGGUGUCGCAAGAGCAAACGAAAAGUCUGCCGCAGCUGCACUUAUUUGAGCAUUGCCCCCUUCCCCGCUAUGGCAUCGUCUUACCUCCUCCCGAUGUUCCCGCCUUCUGUUUUGUGUUCACUGUCAUUGGAAGCACGCAACGCUAACCCUAAAUCACAUGCAAUCGCGUGUGAUUGCGGAGGUUUCUCGGAAAACACGAGCAAGCGGGUAAGCGCGCACGAGGCUAGAGCGACCUUUUUUAACUUACGACGCCAUUGUUCAGCGUAAUGUUUACCGUCAUUCGAGCCCGACCGAGGUCGGCUGACGCGUCAUUAAAACUGUAAAGUUGACAGAAAGCAAACGAUAUUUCGCGUCUUUUUGAACUUCUGGGACGAAACUUUUUGCUUGCUUCAGUUUGCAUGCUUGGCAGAAAUACAGGGCGGAUAAGUGGGUUUCGCAAAAUGUGAUCCACUCUUACGCAUAAUCUGUAUUAGAAUAUGGCAACGCGGUUGAAUAGCUGUUAUGUUUUCGUCUUCGUCUAAUCUUCAGCGUAAUAAUGGCGUCGUGCUUUAAUGGGGAGAUUUCGGGUGUGUCUGACAUGCGGAUGGUAGACUUCUUGAUUUAGAUUUCGAUUAUCUUUCGUUUAAUCAAACCUGGCUGCACUUACUAGUUGGCGGCCCGAGCUUGUGAACCCGGCCUCGGUGCCAGCCUCAUCCGCUGCUCUCCUUUGCGCAGCGAACAGCAUGUAGUGCUAAUUUUCCGCGAGGAGUUCUGUGUGUACGUACCUCCUGUGUACCUCGCGUGCCCGGCGAAUUGGGCGCGCAGAAGGCAUACACUCACUGCCGAGGGGACAGCGUGUGGGUGCAGGGAGUGGAUUCGGGUCUGUUUUGCGCGUGCGCGUGUGUGACACAAAUGUAAAUACACUCCUCUAAAUAACAGGGUAGCAUGUGCUGGGCAGGCGCGCUAUGUUUGGUGCGCCAAUAAUGUCGAUUGCCAUGUGAACGGUGUGCUGUUGACGACGACGUAGGUGUGUGCAUGUGUUGCGCGCGGGUGUCGUUGUUCCAGGCACUGCGUUUCCCGUGCAGGAGGCGGCCAUCCGACCACUGCUUCGCGUGGUCGUGCCACCUGAGUGUAUCGUGUGUGUGUGCGUCUGUUUUCUUUUUACGUGUGUUCAGGGUUCAAACGCACUCGUGUUUCUUUUUUUUUCUUUCCUUUUUUUUUCUUUGAUUCGUCCCUUCUACCCUAUCUCUCAUCUUCUGUGCGUGUACAGUGUUCAUGCGGCUGGGCACGUUACGUGCGCGAAUUCACGCAACUCGAAACACACGUGUAAAUACGUAUCUCGGCGCCAUCUGACAUGGCCUCCCCGCCGUUUGUUUGUUGUGCUCCAAGUGGCUGACUGACUUGUGUAUGUGUGCGAGUGUGCAGAUGUGAACGCUGUUCUGCAAGAUCUUUCUUUUUUUUAUGCGUGCGUGGUGCAGAGUUAUUUCCUCGAGGACUUUUAUUUUCUGUCUUAUCACCAUACUCUGGCCCGAGGUGUAGUGUGUUCUUGAGAAGAAGACAGCGACGGCAAUAUAAGCUAAGUGACACAGACUCUGCGGACGGUCGUCUGCGUCUUUCUAAUGCAGACGAUGGGAGUGUGUGCGCUUUGCAGGUGUGUGUAUGUGUGUGUGUGUGUGUGGGCGUGUGUGCGUUUGCGUGCGUGCGUGUUUGCGUGUGUGUCGCGACCGCGAGAGGACGAUGUUACAAGAACGCGCGCCGGUGCAAGCACCGGGCACCAGAGCAGACAGUAUAGCGUUCUCCUUUUUUUUUUUUUCUUCUUCUUUUAGGCGAAGUGUACGAGCAGCUAUUACGGGAGGUUGCUGUGACGAGAGCGUCUGAGUGCGCGCGUCUGGUUCUGUUGGCGUGUCGAGAGAGCGGUCAUUUUUUUUCGGCUGUGGCGGAUGGACUCCCCUUGUCUAGCUUAUCGCGGGCGGACGGCGCGGACUUCGCUGCCUCUGUCCAUUCUUAGCUGGACGCGGCGCCGUGUUGGGGGCGCCGGGUCCACGCGCUCGCUGCACGUGCCACGCAACCCUGUGCUCGAGCUAGUGGACGCUCCGCCCGAUUCCGGCUGCUUGCCUUCGAACACGUGUAACGCCGUGAGGUGCUGUGCGAGGCUUCGAAACCUGCGCCGUUCGCCAAGUUGUAGCCUACAGCGGAGUGUGUGUAAUAAUAAAUACUACGCGGGGCGGGUCGCCACGCGCGCUCUCAUUGUGCGUUUUUAUCUCCCGCCCUAUCCCCACCUACCCUUCCUCUUCAUCCCUCACAUCCCUUUUUCCCUGGUUGGCCCGACCCGAUUUACAGAAACAAAUAUCGCUUGUGUAUAUAUGUGGACGAUUGCGUUACUGGGAUUCGAAGAUGAAUAAAAGGUUUCAAGUGAAAA